rnacentral:pre_miRNA from 1 species
UAUUAAAAUUUCUAUCUAUUUGUAUCAUUAAAAAUUGUAUGGCUACUGGAAUAAUCAAAUACAUGUCACGUAUGCCUCAUACUAAUGUAUAAAGACCAAUUUUUAAUAACAAAAAUUAAUGAAAUCUUUAAUA